rnacentral:rRNA from 1 species
CUCUUGAGAGCGGCGGACGGGUGAGUAAUGCCUAGGAAUCUGCCUGGUAGUGGGGGAUAACGUUCGGAAACGGACGCUAAUACCGCAUACGUCCUACGGGAGAAAGCAGGGGACCUUCGGGCCUUGCGCUAUCAGAUGAGCCUAGGUCGGAUUAGCUAGUUGGUGAGGUAAUGGCUCACCAAGGCGACGAUCCGUAACUGGUCUGAGAGGAUGAUCAGUCACACUGGAACUGAGACACGGUCCAGACUCCUACGGGAGGCAGCAGUGGGGAAUAUUGGACAAUGGGCGAAAGCCUGAUCCAGCCAUGCCGCGUGUGUGAAGAAGGUCUUCGGAUUGUAAAGCACUUUAAGUUGGGAGGAAGGGUUGUAGAUUAAUACUCUGCAAUUUUGACGUUACCGACAGAAUAAGCACCGGCUAACUCUGUGCCAGCAGCCGCGGUAAUACAGAGGGUGCAAGCGUUAAUCGGAAUUACUGGGCGUAAAGCGCGCGUAGGUGGUUUGUUAAGUUGGAUGUGAAAUCCCCGGGCUCAACCUGGGAACUGCAUUCAAAACUGACUGACUAGAGUAUGGUAGAGGGUGGUGGAAUUUCCUGUGUAGCGG